rnacentral:rRNA from 1 species
UACAGAGGUCUCAAGCGUUGUUCGGAUUCAUUGGGCGUAAAGGGUGCGUAGGCGGCGGGGCAAGUCGGAUGUGAAAUCUCAGGGCUCAACCCUGAAACUGCAUUCGAUACUGCCUUGCUCGAGGACUGGAGAGGAGAUUGGAAUUCACGGUGUAGCAGUGAAAUGCGUAGAUAUCGUGAGGAAGACCAGUGGCGAAGGCGGAUCUCUGGACAGCUCCUGACGCUGAGGCGCGAAGGCUAGGGGAGCAAACGGG